GGCGCCAUCGUCUAAGUGGCUUAGGACAUCGCCCUCUCAAGGCGAAGACUACGGGUUCGAAUCCCGUUGGCGCCA
rnacentral:tRNA from 1 species